ACAGUAUUGUCAUGACGUUCUGGUGGGUGGGUGGGUCUUUUCUCUCCCUCAGGUAAGAUGAGUCAGCUGUCUUGAAUUUGCCUUGAUGUGGAGAAGUUUUGGUCAGCCUGUGAGGAUAUGGAAGAUGGUUCAAACCACUACCUCAGGUUUUUUCAUUAGUCUUAUUGCCCUCUUUUUCUUAAGCGCCAUCUUAUCAUCAGCCCUGAUUUGUCAGCAGAUGGUCCAGACCUCACUGACACUCCGGUGGCUCUUCUGACAGUCGUCACAGAUGACACAACUGAUGCAGCCCUGAGAACAUCUGUAUUGUCGUGGAGGAUGAAAUACUUGUGAAUGAUCCCACAAAUCUGGCUGACUCAUUUCUCCUGCUCUUUGGAUACAUCUUUGCACUAGACCUACAGUAG